GAUUGAAGGGAAGGCCAAGAAAACAGUGGAAUGGAGAGGGAGAGAGAGCGAGGAAAGAGGGAGGAAUCUUGAAGAGGGAGGAGAAGAAGAGAGAGAAAAAAUGGUAUAUUUAUUUUUAAUUAAAAAAUUUCAGUUAUAGUGACACAUUAGCACUGUUAAACUGGAAAACUUUUUAUAGUAAGUAAAAGAGAGUUUUGUGUGUUGUGCAUCAAAUCAAAAUUGAAUGGUUUUUAUGUUAUAAAUUGUAAUUUACGGAUGACGUUGUUAUAGUGUCCUAAAUUUAGGUACAAAUGGUGAAGUUUACCCACGAAGUCUAUGAUAAAGCACAAAAUCAGGCAUUAUCCCAUAAAUCAGUAAUGUAAUAAUUGCAAAGGAUCCAAUUCACUACAGAUGCUCCCUAGCCAUGGACAAGAAAAUAAUGACAGGUCCUAUCUAAAUGUCACUUUUCUCUCUCCUUUUUGAUAGUUCAUAUAAAAGUCUAUAUAGUCUUAGUUUCUUACAAACAAAUUGCUAGCCCAGCCACUGAAGCAAAUUUGAAGAGUCUGCUAUGUCACAAAAUCAAAUGUGUGAAGAAUCUCUUCACCUAUAUGGAUAUUAUAAGAUUGGACUUUUUCACAAAUAGUUGGACAAUAUGGAGUUGGGAUUGCUUUACUCAUGAGCAGAUAUCAAUUUAAUUUCAUAACACUAGUCCACAAAAUACUUACACAAAUGACAAACGAAAAUCCAAUUCUAAAUAUUCAAACAUUGUCUAGACCUUGAACUAACAAAUACGUCCCCAAAUGAGAUAUUUUGCUGAGCAAAACUUAAUAUCUUUUUUCGAUUUAUUUAUCUGGCCAAUAAGGCAGUGAGGCACUAAAAAUCAACCAUGCUCUUUAUACUCUUCUAAAAAAAUUCCAUAGUUUAAUCCUCAACAAGGUCAUCAAACAGCCUUAAAGGAGACAUUUCCCUGACAAGUUUGAGUUUGAG
rnacentral:misc_RNA from 1 species